ensembl:lncRNA
GUCGUUAAGCAACUUUCAUCCCUACACAACUUCCAGAAUCUCUUAGUGACUCCUACUGUUUCCCCUAGUUAGCUUUUGAUUCUCUCCAUGAGAUCUGCUCUCAGAACUUCAGCUGAUCCUGAUGCAGCCUUGCUGACCUAUGGAAUUUCCCCUCCUUUUCCAGUGCUUACCUCUCAUUAGGACCCAUGGGUCAUUCCUCUGAGCAUGACACACUGGGGCAAGUGUCUGUGUCAAACUCUGUUAGAAGUUUCUAUUUUAAGGUAUAAAGAGAAAGAAGCAAAAAGCAAACUUUUAUGUACACUCUGACUUCAGUUAUGGGAAAUGCAUGGAAAAGAAAGCUGGAAGGAAAGACGGUGAUGACAUUGCAUUAGAGUUGUAGGACAAUGGAUGGUUUUUUCUAUUUUCUUAGUUUUAUGAAAUAUGGUAUAUCAGUUAUUAAAUGAGAAAGGUUUACCUUCUUACUAAUUUACAUAUUUCUUUCUAAAAACUGAAAUACGUCUAUCAACUCAGAUGGUUACCAGGCAAUAUCACAAAAUUUGCAUUUUUUUUUUUUUGGAGGUGGAGUCUUGAUGUGUUACCCAGGCUGGAGUUCAGUGGUGCAAUCUCCGCUCACUACAAGCUCCACCACCCGGGUUUACACCAUUCUCCUGCCUCAGCCUCCCGAGUAGCUGGGACUACAGGGUACCCAGAAAUUUUGUUACUGUAUCAAGAUCACAGAAAGAAUGUUUGAGACAUCACCAGAAUCUACAGCCUCUGAUGGUACUCCUGGAUUCAGCUUCUAGCAUUACAGGUGUGCUAGCUUGUCUGCAAGAUGGCACCCAUGAGCCCUAAAUUCCUGGAUUGAUGCUCUUGCCUAGUCCUCUAUUGUGUCAUAUCAGGGUUGUUCCAAGUAACCAAUAGAACACAGCAGAGGUGAUGGCAUGUCACAAAGUUAGGUCAUAAAGGACAUCAUGGUUUCUAUGUUGCUGGCUUUCUCUUGGAUCAUUUUCUCUGGAGGAAACCAACUGCGUGUUGUGAGAAGAUUUAAGCAAUCCAGGGCGAGAUCUACAUGGUAAUGAACGGAGGCCACCAGCCGACAAUCAUGCCGGUGAGGGAUUUUUAGAGGCAGACCCUCCAGCCCCAAUCAGGCCUUCAGAUUACUGCAUCCCACAUAGAUUACAACGUUGUGAAAUGACACUGAGUCAGACUCAUCCAGCAAAACCACCGAACUCCUGACCCACAGACACUGAGAUAAAGGUUGUUUUAAAUCACAGAGUUUUGGGGGUAAUUAGUCACACAGUGAUAGAUAAUUGAUAGACAUUGCAGAUAACUUGUCUCUUUAGUCCGCAAGACUUUAGACAGAGAGGAACUCUACUUGAAGAUCUAUUCUUAAAGAACUACACCUGGUCAGGCAGAGUGGCUUAUGCCUAUAAUCCCAACAUUUUGAUAGGCCGAGGCAGGAUGAUUGCUUGAGCCCGAAAGUUUGAGAACAGCCGGGGAAACAUGGUGAAACCCCAUCACCACAAGAAACUUUCAAAAAAUUAGCCAGCCAUUAUGGUGUGUGCCUGUCAUCCCAGCUACUUGGGACGCUGAAGCAGGAGGAUUGCUUGAGUCCAGGGGUCAAGGGGUCAAGGCUACAAGUGAGCUGAGAUUGCACCACUGCACUCCAGACUGGGCAACAGAGUGAGACUCUGUCUCAAUUAAAAAAAAAAAAAAAAAAAAGAACUACACCUGAGAAGACUUCUCUGUAUUGGGAUCUGAUUUAAAUAAUUACAUCCUGGACUUCAAACCUAGAUAUCCUGUACAAGCUUGAGACUUUUGGGAGGAGUUGAGAGGAAUGAGAGUAUUUUACAUGUGGGAGAAAUAGAAAUAAUUUGUGGCCAGAUGGUGGACUGUGAUGAUUUAAAAUACAUCCACCGAUUAUUUAAUAUUCCUUUCAAAAGAUGGAACAUAAUUCCCCUCCACCUGAAUAUGGGCUGGAGUUAGUGACUCGUUUGUGGUAAAUAGAAUGUAGAAGUGAUUGUGUGUGAUGUCAGAGACUAGGUCAUAAAAGUGAUGGUGUUUUCCAGUUUGCUGUUACUCUUGGAUGAUCUGCUCUGGGGAUAGUUGUGAGUAGACCUCCAGCCCAUAGCCAUGUGAGUGAGCCUUUUGAAGAGUGGACCUUCCAGGCCCAGUCAAACCUUCAGGUGACUGCAGCCCCAGCCAACAUCUUGGGAGACCCUGAGUCAGAACCCCUGCUAAGUCACUUGCAGAUCCCUAAGCCUCAGAAACUGUGAAGAAAAAAAAAUGGAUGUGGUUUUAAGCCCUAAGUUUGGGGCAUAGUUUUUUUUUUUUUUUUUUUUUUUUUGAGACGGAGUCUCGCCCUGUGUCACCCAGGCUGGAGUGCAGUGGCGCGAUCUCGGCUCACUGCAAGCUCCGCCUCCCAGGUUCACGCCAUUCUCCUGCCUCAGCCUCCGAGUAGCUGGGACUACAGGCGCCCACCACCACGCCCGGCUAGUUUUUUGUAUUUUUAGUAGAGACGGGGUUUCACCAUGUUAGCCAGGAUGGUCUCGAUCUCCUGACCUCGUGAUCCACCCGCCUCGGCCUCCCAAAGUGCUGGGAUUACAGGCUUGAGCCACCGCGCCCGGCCUUGGGGCAUAGUUUGUUAUGCAGCAAUACAUAAUAUGUCUGAUAUGGUUUAGCUGUGUCCCCACCCAAAUCUCACCUUGAAUGGUAGCUCCCAUAAUUCCUUCAUGUUGUGGGAGGGACCCGGUGGGAGAUAAUUGAAUCAUAGGGUGGUUUCCCCCGAACUGUUCUCAUGGUAGUGAAUCAGUCUCAUAAGGUCUGAUGGUUUUAUCAGGGGAAACCCCUUUUGCUUGGUUCUCAUUCUCUUCUCUUGUUUGCUGCCAUGUGAGACGUGCCUUUCACCUUCCACCAUGAUUGUGAGGCCUCCCCAG